UUUAAUUGAAGAGUUUGAUCAUGGCUCAGAUUGAACGCUGGCGGCAGGCUUAACACAUGCAAGU
rnacentral:rRNA from 4 species